ACUUGAUUAACAAGCAUAUUUAUGUAACGUUGUUUAUUAAACAGACCGUCCGAUACAAACUCUUAGUUAGUACUAUUGCUCAAAAACUGAUUCUCUUGAAUCAGCAGACUCGAGUGUUUAUAGCGCCGCCAAGAAGCUGUGUUGUGUGUGUUGAUCGUCUCCACCAUGCACGCGAUAAUCAAGACCAGCAACGUCUUGAUCAAGGAGAAGCAAAGAACGACGAUGUAACUACUAAAUAGCGGGAACAGUUUUCCACACUGGUACGCUGUAUGACGUCGAGCAUUGCCAAAAUGGAAGUGAUCUUUGAAGAACUGAGCGUCUUCAAAGCCAGCAAUGUUUCUUUUAAUUACUGUGGUAAUAAUUCAAGAUGAUGAAGUCUGAUUAGGUAGAAAACCUUUCUGAAAAGUUUAGGAGCCAUUGUUAAAUUCAAUUGGUGUAAAGUGAGUUUUAAGCCAUAAUCAUUUGGUAUUAAUUUUUAUAUGGGUUGUUGUAGACCCAUUCCAAUCCCCAGCAACGUAAACCUGCAGAAGGAAAGGCACGU